UCUCUUAUCCUUACCAGUGUGUAAUGUGUGUUCCAGAUAUGAUUGUAGAGCUGGCGGGCCAUGCCCAGUUUAUCACCACUACGUUCAGACCUGAGCUUCUGGAGUCAGCCGACAAGUUCUACGGAGUCAAGUUCAGAAACAAGGUGAGUCACAUUGACGUGAUCUCGGCAGAGCAGGCGAAAGACUUUGUGGAGGACGACACUACCCAUGGUUAAGAAUAAUCAACUCUUCCUCAUCCACCUCCGUAGUGCACUGCCUAACUCUGAGCCUUCAGUCUCUCCACUCUGACAGAACUCAACCAGGACUCUAUGGUCAGCCAUUAUUGGAAUCUAUUCCCAUUCUAGCGUCAGAACUCCCAGGUCCAUCAUCUAGCGCUCAGUAGCUCCACCACUGUUCCCUCCUCUAUGACAUCGUUAUGACGACGUCCAUCGUCUUAGCGACCGAGGAGGGGAAAUAAAAGUUAAUUUUGUUUUUUUCUGGCCCGUUUUUAUUUGAUUUUUAACAAUGUUUUCAGGUGGUCAUGUUGAUGUUUGAGAUGAGGGUUGAAUUUCAGUGCUGGCGCAGCCUUUGACCUCAUUGUAUAUUGAAAAUGGAGAACUUUUCGGAUUUAAAUGCAUGUUCUUUUUUCAUUUGAAACUGUUGGUCUGUGCUGAUGUUGUGCCGAGGAUUUUUCAUCAUAAAUUGGUUGGUCACUUUGAAUCUCAAACUGUGAGGUGAAAGACAGAAAUAAUAACCCGUUUGUCAGAAUAAUCUUUUUUAAGAUAUGACAUAUUAUUAACUUGUUGUAAUGUCGUUACCAGAAAAAUGGUUUGAAACAAUCUACAUUUUUUUGUAUUCUUUCUUUUUGUUAACGGUGUCUUGGCAUUCCCUGUUGUAGGUCAUUAUCUUGUAACCAGUUAAUUCUACACUGACUGCAGCAUUUUAACUAGUUGUUCUCUCCAUAUUACUCUAUUAGAAAACAAUAAAAAUCCUAUAAGGACAUUUCCUGAA